AUUGAACGCUGGCGGCAGGCCUAACACAUGCAAGUCGAGCGGAACGGCGGACGGGUGAGUAAUGCCUAGGAAUCUGCCUGGUAGUGGGGGAUAAAGUCCGGCAACGGGCGCUAAUACCGCAUACUUGCCGUUGAGCGUAGGUCGGAUGGGCUAGUUGGUGGGGUAAAGGCCUACCCAGGCGACGGUCCGUAACUGGUCUGAGAGGAUGAUCAGUCAAACUGGAACUGAGACACGGUCCAGACUCCUACGUGAGGCAGCAGUGGGGAAUAUUGGACAAUGGGCGAAAGCCUGAUCCAGCCAUGCCGCGUGUGUGAAGAAGGUCUUCGGAUUGUAAAGCACUUUAAGUUGGGAGGCGUUACCAACAGAAUAAGCACCGGCUAACUUCGUGCCAGCAGCCGCGGUAAUAC
rnacentral:rRNA from 1 species